GCCUUAACACUCAUACAAACUGAAGUUUAAACGUUCCGUCAGUUUCUUCCAAUUAAGUUUGUUUCAUUACUUUCGUUGUUGUCAUCUUCUCUCAAUUGAAAAUCCAAGAAAAAAACAUAUUUCUCGCAAACCAUAGCAACAGAAGAGUACACAUAGGUGUUUUGGGAUACUAUUCAUAUCUCUGGGACUACUCAGUCGAAAUGGAUAAGCCCUCAAUAGUGAGUUACCAGAGGAUACUCUUGGAAGUAGGAUCUGAAGAUUCCACAGAAGUCAGAGAUUGAGGAAUUCUUCAUAAAGAAAUCUCUCUCUGUGACUUUUUGAGCCUCAGUUUGCAACAGAAACUUAUGCUUUGGUUAGCACUCACGUGGAUUGAAAGGAGAAUCCAGAAGCAUGUGUUGAAGGCUGAUCUUCCUGGGCUUAAGAAAGAGGAAGUGAAGAAUGAAGUUGAAUAUGAUAGAUUGGAGUACUACAAAUAAGUGGAGAAGGAAGAAAAGAAUGACAAGCGGCAUGGAGUGGAGCAUUGCAGUGGAUGCUGGAUGCAGUGGAGAAUUGCACUUUCACUAUGAUGGUCCCUAAGUAAGGCUUUGAGCUAGGGGGUGGCUUUAUCUUGGCUGUGUGGCAGUUUCAACUUUUGACUCUAUUACUAUUUAACUGCUGAGGUUUUUUUUUUUUUUUUUUUUUUUUUUUUUUUUUUUUUUUUUUUCAGAACUUAAUUUUUUCAGAACUUUUGUUUAGAACUUUUUGAAGUAUAGGGUUGUUUAUUUUAGAUAAUAUUGGUUGAUUAAA